rnacentral:rRNA from 1 species
CUUUCUUUGCUGGCGACCGGCGCACGGGUGAGUAACACGUAUCCAACCUGCCCUUUACUCGGGGAUAGCCUUUCGAAAGAAAGAUUAAUACCCGAUAGCAUAAUGAUUCCGCAUGGUUUCAUUAUUAAAGGAUUCCGGUAAAGGAUGGGAUGCGUUCCAUUAGGUUGUUGGUGAGGUAACGGCUCACCAAGCCUUCGAUGGAUAGGGGUUCUGAGAGGAAGGUCCCCCACAUUGGAACUGAGACACGGUCCAA